ACCUGCAUCGAAAGUGAUUGUGGCCUGAUCAUUGAUACUGCAGGCAGAGAAUUCCUGAAAGCAUUUCCCGUGUUUGGGGGGCUUCUUUCCAUCCCUUCCAAACCCUGAGCUUUUCAGACA